CCUACGGGUGGCAGCAGUGGGGAAUAUUGGACAAUGGGCGAAAGCCUGAUCCAGCCAUGCCGCGUGUGUGAAGAAGGCCUUCGGGUUGUAAAGCACUUUCAGUGGGGAAGAAAGCCUUGGGGCUAAUACCCUCGAGGAAGGACAUCACCCACAGAAGAAGCACCGGCUAACUCCGUGCCAGCAGCCGCGGUAAUACGGAGGGUGCGAGCGUUAAUCGGAAUUACUGGGCGUAAAGCGCGCGUAGGCGGUCUGAUAAGCCGGUUGUGAAAGCCCCGGGCUCAACCUGGGAACGGCAUCCGGAACUGUCAGGCUAGAGUGAAGGAGAGGAAGGUAAAAUUCCCGGUGUAGCGGUGAAAUGCGUAGAGAUCGGGAGGAAUACCAGUGGCGAAGGCGGCCUUCUGGACUGACACUGACGCUGAGGUGCGAAAGCGUGGGUAGCAAACAGGAUUAGAUACCCUAGUAGUC
rnacentral:rRNA from 1 species